rnacentral:rRNA from 1 species
UACGUAGGGGACAAGCGUUGUCCGGAUUUAUUGGGCGUAAAGAGCGUGUAGGCGGUCAGGUAGGUCCGUUGUGAAAACUCGAGGCUCAACCUCGAGACGCCGAUGGAAACCAUCUGACUAGAGUCCGGAAGAGGAGAGUGGAAUUCCUGGUGUAGCGGUGAAAUGCGCAGAUAUCAGGAAGAACACCCGUGGCUAAGGCGGCUCUCUAGUACGGUACUGACGCUGAGACGCGAAAGCGUGGGGAGCGAACAGG